UGCCAAUGACGAGAAAUCAUGCACCACUCAUAUAUAGCCAUGCUGAAAAGUUAAUACCUCUUAACCAUUUCUGAGGCA